AUGCGCCGGCGGCCGCGGGGUCAGCGCCUGGCUGCGCGAGAAGCUUUCCCGUUCUUCCCGAAGGCCGGAGGCGCAAGGGAACACACAUGCCCUUGGGCGGCGGGCGGCGGGCGGCGGGCGGCGGGCGGCGGGCGGCGGGCGCGGGGCCCCGGAGCCCGUGGCGCCUCCAGCCGGGGCCGGUUCCCGUCACUCCCCGCUCGGCGUUUCCCCGGCGCCCCGCCUCCAGGGCCCCGACGCGAGGAAAGGGGCCGGGCCGCGGCAAGCCCGCCCCUGCCCCGUCGGCGAUUGGCUCCCUCAGGUGUCCAUCCGGAACCUAUUUUUGAUGGAGGAGGGGGUGCCACCCAGUCUGCCCCAGAUCACGUUUGCCGCCGGCAGCGGAGCAGUCGGGCCCGAGUCCGCGGGCGAGAAGCGGUUAGGGGCCGGCGAGCUCGGCUCCGGUGCCCGGUCCGCGUCCCCCCGCCCAGGCCCGAGGCGGUAUCCUGCCGCCCCGGCCACCUCCCCUCGUGGAAGCGGAGCGGCGGCCUGGCAGCAACGCAGAGGCGAAAUGUAGCGAGCCGGGUGUCGCGGCCGGACGCUCACCUUGGUCAGGGGUGUGGGGGGCACGCCGGGGGCCGAGGAGGACGGCUGAGGAGGAGGAGUGAUGAGAAGGGGGGGAACCCUGCAGCCCCCGAGACCACGGGUCCCUGCUGCCGCCCGCCAGGCGCCCCCCUUCCUCCGGAGCGAGGGGCAGGGCAUCCUGGUUCGGUUCUGCUGCUCUCAUCGCAGGGCCUUCGGCCGGUCUGAGGUCUCUAUUGGAAGGCGGCGGGGAGGGACGGGCUUCUCUGCCUGCGAGCCCCCUUUCAGGUUAAGCGGCCUGCCAGGACGACGGGAGGGCGGGGCAAGUUUCGGCAGACUCAGAAACUUUUCUGGCUUGGGGCAGUGGACCCUGUCCUGCUCAGAGGUUUCCUCCUGGAUCUCUAGGGAGGGUCUUUGAAAGAACCAGGGGGCUGUGUUUAAGGAGACUGGCAAAGGGAGUCCUGGUGACUCGAGUGGAUAGAAGAGGAAAUUCUCGUGGGCCAGUUAACUGGAGUUUGGUCCACCCUUUCCCAAACGAGUUGACUAAUUGUGUUUGAAUACUUUAGGGCCUAUUCAUCCUACCUAGGGGAAUUCUCUUUAAAUUUAUUUUUUUCCUUGUAAGAGCUGUUCUGGUGAAAUGGAAUAGGGUGGGAUUGAGGCCUGGGGAUUCCUUGAGGCAGGAAAAGCAGGGGUGUCACUGCUUAAGAGGCGUGCAUUGGGAACAAGUGCAUUUUGGCUUGUGCUGCUCUGCUUUUUGUUUUGCUUUGUUUUAUUUCUUAUUUUUUGAGUUGGUGCUUUUGUGUUUUUGUUUUUUAAGAAU
rnacentral:lncRNA from 1 species